AGAAUCAACGCUGGCGGCGUGCCUAACACAUGCAAGUCGAACGAGAAAGUGGAGCAAUCCAUGAGUAAAGUGGCGACCGGGUGAGUAACACGUGACUAACCUACCUUCGAGUGGGGGAUAACAUCGGGAAACCGAUGCUAAUACCGCAUAACAUCGCAAGAUCAAAGCAGCAAUGCGCUGGAAGAGGGGGUCGCGGCUGAUUAGCUAGUUGGCGGGUAACGCCCACAAGGCGAAGAUCGGUA
rnacentral:rRNA from 1 species